rnacentral:rRNA from 1 species
AUGAACGCUGGCGGCGUGCCUAAUACAUGCAAGUCGAGCGAACAGACGAGGAGCUUGCUCCUCUGACGUUAGCGGCGGACGGGUGAGUAACACGUGGAUAACCUACCUAUAAGACUGGGAUAACUUCGGGAAACCGGAGCUAAUACCGGAUAAUAUAUUGAACCGCAUGGUUCAAUAGUGAAAGACGGUUUUGCUGUCACUUAUAGAUGGAUCCGCGCCGCAUUAGCUAGUUGGUAAGGUAACGGCUUACCAAGGCAACGAUGCGUAGCCGACCUGAGAGGGUGAUCGGCCACACUGGAACUGAGACACGGUCCAGACUCCUACGGGAGGCAGCAGUAGGGAAUCUUCCGCAAUGGGCGAAAGCCUGACGGAGCAACGCCGCGUGAGUGAUGAAGGUCUUCGGAUCGUAAAACUCUGUUAUUAGGGAAGAACAAAUGUGUAAGUAACUAUGCACGUCUUGACGGUACCUAAUCAGAGAGCCACGGCUAACUACGUG